UGGGGUCCUCCCCUGUGCGCACGUGGAGGGCGGGGGCUCCGCCCUGGGGUUCCCGAUCCCCCAAGCUGGUCCUGGGAUGGUGGAUAAAGUCCCUGAGGGGAGGCCGAGGAAGCUCGGUAGCUGCAGGAGGAACCCGCAGCCGGCCCUCUUGGGGGGAAGGGAGGACGCACCUGGAAGCGAGGAUCUGGGCAGGUGGCCAGGUCGCGUCCCUGCCCGGAGAGCCCAAGAAGGGCGGACCCGGGUUUCCCACUUAGCUCUUGCAUUCAGUCUGUGGGAUCCCAGAGUUUGACAGUUGGAGCAGAGAUCCAAGGAGGCCGCUGCUGGGGAGGAAGCCAGCUCAGCUCCUACAACAUUAAACCUGUAUGGUAACUUCUGUUCCCCUCACGUCUCAUAGCUGGCGACACUGAAGGCCCAGAGUUGAAGCUGUGUCUUGCUCCAGAUCCCCCAGCUCCUGCAGUGCUCCAGGCCCUGGCGGUAAGACGUCAUGCCAGGAAAUGCAGGAUGUCACAGAUCAGGGCACAGAUCUAUCCCAAAUCCUGAAUGGGGCUGGAGCACAUUGGAGUGAAACCAAGCUCUAUGGAGAGGGGUGAGAAGAGAAGGAGAAACAUGUCCACCACACGUCAAAGGACUCAUAGAAGGAAAGACAAGAUGCGGGAGCCCUGGAGGAGAUCAGAAGAUCUUGUUUAUUCCUGUCUUGAUGUCUGAAGAGACCUCUCCCCGGGCUCAGGAAUUGGAAUGAGGGUGGGGUGGGGUCAUCCUCUGAUGUUUUAUUUCGUUGCUUUAUGCAAAAACAUAAAUUUCAGACACUCAUUUGACUUGUAAC